GCCAUGGCCGACGCUCUUGCUGCUCGAUCUUCAAUCCAUGAGUCGUCUUCUUUCCUGUAUCUUUUGGCUUUGGAUUGUUUGUUCAAAUUCUUUUUUCUUUCUGAUUUUGGAUUGUUUGCCCUUCGUAUAGGCCGAAGGAAUCGAGGGGUUUUUGUACGGUGAUAGAUGAGUACCGGAAUCGGUUAUUGAUUCGGUUGAAGGAAUCGAGGAGUUUCCUGAAUUGCCGAUGAAAGCAGAGCUUAUUUCCUCGGAAAUUCCACGAAUUGCACUGAGAACUUCGGAAAGAAGAAAGGCCUUCAAGGAUGGGGCAAGUACUACUCGAUCACAACGAAAAAUUUUGACCACUCUCCAAACAAAUCCUUUCAACCUUAUUUUUCUUCACUACACAUUUCCAAAAAUUUCAUUUCCCUCCUUGGAAAAUCUUCGUGGAUGCUGAAACCUGCGGCUGGGAACCCAUUGUUCUCGAUCAUGUCCAGUGCUGAACCCUCCCAAUGGACUGCUCGGAUCAAGGGUUUAAGGGAGCCAAAUCCUUUCUUAGGAAUGUUUUGGCGAGCAUGGAGGCUGUUUAUCUGAGUCGGAAUUCCACUGAAAAAUCCGUUUUGGAGCUUGUUCGAUCUGUUCAUGAUGAUACAAUUUGUUAUGAUCAUAUUGCAUUUAGAACUUUUGGGGACAUAAUCAGAAAAUACACUGAAUAAUGUUCUUUCAAUUGGAAGAAGCAUGUUCUGCUCUGGCAGGUGUUCUGGGUUCCUUGACAUUCAGAGAUUAAGCAAUUAGCAAGGUUUUUAAUCUCC